rnacentral:sRNA from 1 species
CUCUUUAUAGUCAGCCUUCUGCUUGCCACACUCACGGUGGGCAGUCAGUGAAUCUUCCCCAAGUGCUGACAAUUAAUACCUGGUUUAGCGGCAAAGAUUCAGAGAGGCGUGAGCAGCCCCUCUGGCCUUCAGGGAUUCAAAGAUCCAUCUUUCGGUUCUGUAAGACAGUCACGGCUUUUGUAACCUCGGUGCCCCCCUUCAACCUCCCGCCCCAAGCACCUCCAGGGUCGUCAGGGGUGUAAUUUUGAGUCGCGCUCCUAAGCAUCCAGACAGGCAGGACACCGUAACGACAUCUCUGCCAGGAGUCCCUUCAGACUGCGGUCUCCAGGUAACCGCACUCCAACAGAAGCAGUUGUGCUUCCUACCGGGUCACCUGUUCAAAAGUCCCCAGGAGAGGCUCCAGCAAUACCAGGGUAGCGGUUUGCCCGACACCGCUCCGGGCGCUGCAGCCUUCCGGCAACCCGGACGUUGGGUCGGUGUCAGCCACUCUCACCUCCCAUUCCCUAGUUUUCCUCCUUUGCUCCCAUCUAGUCACUUCGC